rnacentral:rRNA from 1 species
UAAGACGAACCGUCCAAACGUUGUUCGGAAUCACUGGGCUUAAAGGGCGCGUAGGCGGCCUGCCAAGUCAGGGGUGAAAUCUUUCGGCUUAACCGGAAAACAGCUUCUGAUACUGGCGGGCUCGAGGGAGGCAGGGGCAGAUGGAACUUCGGGUGGAGCGGUGAAAUGUGCAGAUAUCCGAAGGAACGCCGGUGGCGAAAGCGAUCUGCUGGACCUCAUCUGACGCUGAGGCGCGAAAGCCAGGGGAGCGAACGGGAUUAGAUACCCCGGUAGUCCUGGCCCUAAACGAUGGGCGCUGGGUAGUGAGCUUACAUGGGCCCACUGCCGAAGCAAAAGUGGUAAGCGCCCCGCCUGGGGAGUAUGGUCGCAAGGCUG